rnacentral:rRNA from 1 species
CCUACGGGAGGCAGCAGUGGGGAAUCUUGCGCAAUGGGCGAAAGCCUGACGCAGCCAUGCCGCGUGAAUGAUGAAGGUCUUAGGAUUGUAAAAUUCUUUCAGCAGGGACGAUAAUGACGGUACCUGCAGAAGAAGCCCCGGCUAACUUCGUGCCAGCAGCCGCGGUAAUACGAAGGGGGCUAGCGUUGCUCGGAAUUACUGGGCGUAAAGGGAGCGUAGGCGGGUUAUCAAGUUGGAGGUGAAAGCCCAGGGCUCAACCUUGGAAUUGCCUUCAAAACUGAUAGCCUAGAGUAUGAUAGAGGUAAGUGGAACUCCGAGUGUAGAGGUGAAAUUCGUAGAUAUUCGGAAGAACACCAGUGGCGAAGGCGACUUACUGGAUCAUGACUGACGCUGAGGCUCGAAAGCGUGGGGAGUAAACAGGAUUAGAUACCCUGGUAGUCCACGCUGUAAACGAUGAUUGCUAGUUGUCAGCCGGCAUGCCGGUUGGUGACGCAGCUAACGCAUUAAGCAAUCCGCCUGGGGAGUACGGUCGCAAGAUUAAAACUCAAAAGNGUAGUACGACGUGAGAGAGCGACGACGACGACGACGGAGGGAGGAG